GUGUCCAAAAGCCGUCGCUUGAUAUUUCCCUCGUGACUCCAGAGCGCUGAAAUCCGGCCCCCCUGAACACACCACGCCCACCCUAAUACUCCCGCUAAAAAAAGCCUGGCUGAUCCCGAGUGGAUUAGCUCCUCCAGGAGAGCACGUGACGACACGCCAUUCGCCACCUCCGCUCAAAGCCAAUUACGCGCCGAGCCGGCGUCACGUGACGUGGAAGCUACCCACCUGCGCUGCUGCUCUGCGGGACGCCGCUGACGGACAACUCCAUGGCCAAGGCGCGCAGCCGCUACUUUGGCGGAGGAGAAGUUUUUCAGUUCUCGAGCCUGUGGCCCAUGCAGCCUGCAGCACAGAUGGGGCGGACAGAAGGGGAGCGGCGACGGCCCACUUGCUUUCUGCUCGCUUUGUGUCCUUCCAGGAAAAGGUGAUUCAGAGACUCCCGUUGCAGAAACUGAGGUGCUUCCACUACCACUCCCACCCCCCCUCCACCGCCCCAACCUUACCGGUCCUCCCUGGAAUGUGCCCA